CUCGUAGGCGGUUCGUCGUGUCCGGUGUGAAAGUCCAUCGCUUAACGGUGGAUCUGCGCCGGGUACGGGCGGGCUGGAGUGCGGUAGGGGAGACUGGAAUUCCCGGUGUAACGGUGGAAUGUGUAGAUAUCGGGAAGAACACCAAUGGCGAAGGCAGGUCUCUGGGCCGUUACUGACGCUGAGGAGCGAAAGCGUGGGGAGCGAACA
rnacentral:rRNA from 1 species